CUGAGGAUCCAAGUUGAUUGAAGCAUGGAAUUUACAGCGCUGGGUAUGAACGUCACUGGAGCACGGGAGGGGACAAGGACACAAAAACUGCGUGAUAUUUGGGUGUGGACCUCAGCUCAUGGUCUUCUGCUCCUCAGGAGAGUGUUUUUAGCUGUCAGGUAUCCAAAGGGAGGUGAAUGGAAAACAUCAGGAAACAUGGAUGUUGACAUAUAACCCAUGUUCUGAAGCUUCUGCCAAAAAGGAGAACCUGUUCCAGGCUAGACCAUGAUCUAAUGUCUCCUGAG